rnacentral:rRNA from 1 species
GAUGAACGCUAGCUACAGGCUUAACACAUGCAAGUCGAGGGGUAGCACGGAGGAAGCUUGCUUCCUUGGGUGACGACCGGCGCACGGGUGAGUAACGCGUAUCCGACCUACCCAUUACUCGGGCACAGCCGCUCGAAAGAGUGAUUGAUUCCCGAUAUGUCCUUGGAGUAGAUUCAAUGAUGAAAGAUUUAUCGGUAAUGGAUGGGGAUGCGUAAGAUUAGGUAGUAGGCGGGGUAACGGCCACCUAGCCGACGAUCUUUAGGGGUUCUGAGAGGAAGGUCCCCCANACUGGUACUGAGACACGGACCAGACUCCUACGGGAGGCAGCAGUGAGGAAUAUUGGUCAAAUGGGCGGAAGCCUGAACCAGCCAAGUA